GCGGCCGGACCGUGCGCGCGUGGCGGCCAUUCUGCGCGAGUCGGACCCGCAGCGGCUUCAGCGCCAGCUCCUGCUCAUGCUGGUGGAGGCUGAGGUCCUGCGCAGUCAGCUGGCGGCGCUGGGUGGUGACCCUAAGCGUGACCCCGGUGGCGGUGACCUCGACGCGGCGCCUGAAGCCGACCCCCGCAAUAAGGUGGCCGCCCUGCAGCGAACCAACGGUGAUCUGCGCCUGCAGCUGGAGGAGCGCCGGAUCGAGCUGGAGGGCACGCGCGCCCG